rnacentral:rRNA from 1 species
AGAAAGCCCCGGCUAAUUACGUGCCAGCAGCCGCGGUAAUACGUAGGUGGCAAGCGUUAUCCGGAAUUAUUGGGCGUAAAACGUGCGUAGGCGGUUUUUUAAUUCUGAUGUGAAAGCCCACGGCUCAACCUGGGAGGGUCAUUGGAAACUGGGGAACUUGAGUGCAGAAGAGGAGAGUGGAAUUCCAGGUGUAGCGGUGAAAUGCGUAGAUAUAUGGAGGAACACCAGUGGGGAAGGCGGCUUUCUGGUCUGUAACUGACGCUGAGGGGCGAAAGCGUGGGGAGCAAACAGGAUUAGAUACCCUGGUAGUCCACGCCGUAAACGAUG